rnacentral:rRNA from 1 species
CCUUGUACACACCGCCCGUCACAUCAUGGGAGUUGGUUUUACCCGAAGUCGAUGACUUAACCGCAAGGGAAGAGUCGCCUAAGGUAACGGCCGAUGACUGGGAGUG